ACGUAUCCAACCUUCCGGUAACUCCGGUAUAGCCUUUCAAAAGAAAGAUUAAUCCCGGAUAGUAUGGUGAUUCCGCAUGGUUUUUCCAUUAAAGGAUUCCGGUUACCGAUGGGGAUGCGUUCCAUUAGGCAGUUGGCGGGGUAACGGCCCACCAAACCUACGAUGGAUAGGGGUUCUGAGAGGAAGGUCCCCCACAUUGGAACUGAUACACGGUCCAAACUCCUACGGGAGGCAGCAGUGAGGAAUAUUGGUCAAUGGGCGGAAGCCUGAACCAGCCAAGUAGUGUGAAGGAUGACUGCCCUAUGGGUUGUAAACUUCUUUUAUAAGGGAAUAAUUGCGGGUACGCGUACCCGUUUGCAUGAACCUUAUGAAU
rnacentral:rRNA from 1 species